AGCUAGUCGGUCUUCCAUGUUUCGUAGGGAAAAUAUGUGUUUUAACGGCACCAAAAGGAUAUACAGAGAAACAACCCUUUUUACUACAACUAGAUUUUAAAUUUUGAAUAAAACCAAUGAUAUAAAAGCUUGUAUCUUAGAUGUCAUCCUAGCAGUGGUGGAUUUACGUUUUGGGGAUGGUGGGCACAGCGUACACUCACGGCCUCAUCCACAUAGUGAGUGUGACUGUUAUAUUCUUCCAUCGGUGGUGGGAUUUAAAGUUUCUGGUUACAGAUCACCGAUGCACACCAGGUUUUUCGUGAAAUGGCCUCUUUGAAGUCGCCGGAGGAGUUUGGCGCUCGGAAUGUUGGGAAACAAGAUAAGGUAACUAAAGUGGAUGUGCGCACGGUCCUACUCUUGCUCGUGGAUGUUGUUUAUGUUUACUUUUGAAUAAAGUUGUAAACUUCCAGACAAUAUGUUGUCUCGUGAUGUAAACACUUAAUCUACGUUUUCAGUAAUGUAAUGUUUUGGAUAUUUGAAGUUAUUUUUACGGGCAUGUAGUAUGUUUACCUUUCGUAUGCAAUGAGAAACUUUCAUGAUCA